UACGUAGGGUGCAAGCGUUAAUCGGAAUUACUGGGCGUAAAGCGUGCGCAGGCGGUUAUAUAAGUCAGAUGUGAAAUCCCUGGGCUCAACCUAGGAACUGCAUUUGAGACUGUAUGGCUAGAGUGUGUCAGAGGGGGGUAGAAUUCCACGUGUAGCAGUGAAAUGCGUAGAUAUGUGGAGGAAUACCGAUGGCGAAGGCAGCCCCCUGGGAUAACACUGACGCUCAUGCACGAAAGCGUGGGGAGCAAACAGG
rnacentral:rRNA from 1 species